AUGAACGCUAGCUACAGGCUUAACCCAUGCCAGUCGCGGGGCAGCAUGGGGGUUGCUUGCACUCCCCGAUGGCGACCGGCGCACGGGUGAGUAACGCGUAUCCAACCUGCCCUUCACCACGGGAUAACCCGGCGAAAGUCGGACUAAUACCGUAUGUUGUCCAUUGACGGCAUCCGAUUUGGACGAAAGGUUUGGCGGUGAAGGAUGGGGAUGCGUCCGAUUAGCUGGACGGCGGGGUGACGGCCCACCGUGGCGACGAUCGGUAGGGGUUCUGAGAGGAAGGUCCCCCACACUGGAACUGAGACACGGUCCAGACUCCUACGGGAGGCAGCAGUGAGGAAUAUUGGUCAAUGGGCGUAAGCCUGAACCAGCCAAGUAGCGUGCAGGAUGACGGCCCUAUGGGUUGUAAACUGCUUUUAUGCGGGGAUAAAGUGGCCCACGUGUGGGUUUUUGCAGGUACCGCAUGAAUAAGGACCGGCUAAUUCCGUG
rnacentral:rRNA from 1 species